AACGAACGCUGGCGGCAGGCUUAACACAUGCAAGUCGAACGCCCCGCAAGGGGAGUGGCAGACGGGUGAGUAACACGUGGGAACGUACCCUUCGGUUCGGAAUAACACAGAGAAAUUUGUGCUAAUACCGGAUACGUCCGAGAGGAGAAAGAUUUAUCGCCGAAGGAUCGGCCCGCGUCUGAUUAGCUAGUUGGUGAGGUAAUGGCUCACCAAGGCGACGAUCAGUAGCUGGUCUGAGAGGAUGAUCAGCCACACUGGGACUGAGACACGGCCCAGACUCCUACGGGAGGCAGCAGUGGGGAAUAUUGGACAAUGGGCGAAAGCCUGAUCCAGCCAUGCCGCGUGAGUGAUGAAGGCCCUAGGGUUGUAAAGCUCUUUUACCUGGGAAGAUAAUGACUGUACCAGGAGAAUAAGCCCCGGCUAACUUCGUGCCAGCAGCCGCGGUAAGAGUACUCUAU
rnacentral:rRNA from 1 species